rnacentral:rRNA from 1 species
UACGGAGGGGGCUAGCGUUGUUCGGAAUUACUGGGCGUAAAGGGAGCGUAGGCGGAUAGUUUAGUCAGAGGUGAAAGCCCAGGGCUCAACCUUGGAAUUGCCUUUGAUACUGGCUAUCUUGAGUACGGAAGAGGUAUGUGGAACUCCGAGUGUAGAGGUGAAAUUCGUAGAUAUUCGGAAGAACACCAGUGGCGAAGGCGACAUACUGGUCCGUUACUGACGCUGAGGCUCGAAAGCGUGGGGAGCAAACAGG